CUAACUACGUGCCAGCAGCCGCGGUAAUACGUAGGGGGCAAGCGUUAUCCGGAAUCACUGGGCGUAAAGGGUGCGUAGGCGGCUUAGCAAGCCAGGGGUGAAAGGCAUUGGCUCAACCAAUGUAAGCCUUUGGAACUGUUAAGCUUGAGUGCAGGAGAGGUAAGUGGAAUUCCUAGUGUAGAGGUGAAAUUCGUAGAUAUUAGGAGGAACACCAGUGGCGAAGGCGACUUACUGGACUGUAACUGACGCUGAUGCACGAAAGCGUGGGUAGCGAACAGGAUUAGAUACCCUGGUAG
rnacentral:rRNA from 1 species